rnacentral:rRNA from 1 species
UACGUAGGGGGCAAGCGUUGUUCGGAAUUACUGGGCGUAAAGCGCGCGUAGGCGGUGUGGUAAGUCAGAGGUGAAAGCCCCGAGCUCAACUUGGGAACUGCCUUUGAUACUGCCGGACUAGAGUACAGAAGAGGCGACUGGAAUUCCGUGUGUAGCGGUGAAAUGCGUAGAUAUACGGAGGAACACCAGAUGCGAAGGCGGGUCGCUGGGCUGAUACUGACGCUGAGGCGCGAAAGCUAGGGGAGCAAAC